GCAGUCACACUAACGCCCUGAGGAGUGUUAAAAUUCAGCUCGAGAGGCACUUAGUGUCACAGAAGCCUAGAUAAAGAUACAAGAUUUCAAGCAGGAAGAAAUAAUAAAAAAUAAAGAGGCAGGACUUCAAGUGUCCUGUGAAACAGAGCACUCGGCCUCCGGCAUACGCAUCCAUGGGAGACGGCUCAACUUCUUUAUAAAGUGAGGAACCAAAUUGUGAAGACAUCUGUUCUGUUAUUAAUUUCACAUACAUCUUAAGCUCCUCAAGGCCAGAAAUGAGGCUUCAUUCACGUCGAAUUAAUGAAACAUGAUUGUUCAAGGGGAUAGAUUUUUACACGAAUAUGUCAUGGCUCCGGACUGAACUGUAAAAUUCUAGGGGUCAGGGAAUAGAAUCCAUUUGUUCAUUUUUCUCUGCAGAACCUAACAAAAUAAGUAUUUGUUGAUUACAUCGUAAAUUUGGGGAUUAGAAAUGUCUUUAAAAUUUUGAUCAAGUUACUUCAAACUCUGGAAACACUGUUUUAUCAUAUCUGGGCUGAGUGUAAUAACAUUUUAAGGAUUAAUGAAACGUUGGGCAGUUCUUGUGUUAUUUGGCUAUUGCAGGAAGCAAAUCAUAAGGCAAAAACAUUUAUAAAAUACAAAAUAAUGAUUUAUACAGUAAGUUAUACUCCCUCAGGCAAAGAUGUUAUAUAAACCACAAAGUAUUUGGCCACUGUAACACAUUUAAGAUGUCUUAAAUACCAUGAGAUUUAUAAAUAUUUUUAAUAGUUAAACAAAUUUAACUUUGAAAGUUACCUAAUAUUCAAUGAGCUUUGAGGUUGGAACUUGUUUUUCUUUUUUUGCAUUUGAAUGUGCUUCAUUUAGGUUGAUGCAAGCAAGUUAGUGUGGGUACUUAAUAGCAUAUCAUAAAGGAUUUAACUUAAUUCCACCAUAAUGAAUUAAUUCUCUCAGUGACACUGUUUUCAUUAUAGAUUUAAUGACAUCACCUUGGCUAAGAUUCAGGAAUUCAGAACGCUGAGUUACCCUGAACUAUCUAAAAAUGAAAAUGGAAAGAUAAUUCUGCUCCAUGUCUGGUGUACUCCAACUGCGGAUAAGGUGCCCUUUAGGGCCUUAAAGGACAGGAACAAAGUAUGGCGGUUUGUCAUCAGAGCUCCAGGAAGCCACGAGGAAACAGAUCUUAGGAACCGAAUUGCUCAAGAUGGGAAAGAAAUGAAGAAACGUGCAGCAGAUGCUCCCAGCCUGGACAUGUAACCUUCAAGAAGAAGGGCCAACCAGUCAUGCUAAUUGGUCUUGAACAAUGGCUGUUUGCACUGGGAGAUGAGAGAGAGCGCCCUGUUUCUUCCUGAUUCCCUUCUAUAGACAUCUUUCCAGGAUUUGAAAUUGAUAAUUGUAGACACAAAGAUACACUUGGCCUACUUUGCCAGCCUAUUUGGAAUCAAAUGGGUGUCACCCUGCAUGUCUGGUACAUGUGCAGAUGGUUUCUGGCGGCUUCAAUAAAAUCAGAAAACACAAAAUCUGUAUUUGUUUUUUUUUCCAGAUAAUUGAAAGGAGCUGGUUGUCAGUGCCCUUGGUGUUGACAUGAAAAAUGUUAUGCUGAUUUUUUAGAAGUGUUCGUUAUGCUUACAGUCCCGUAAUACUGCUAAACUC